rnacentral:lncRNA from 1 species
AUCACUACCCAUUACAUGUUAUCCCAUAAUACCCAUUAAUCGACGAUAAACCCCCCUUACCUGAGUUAAUCCGGCAAAGUCCUUCAACUUCAAGCUUUUCCUUUUCUCCAACCCUUGUUCUCUUGCUCUUUGCCCUUUUCCCUUUUCCACUUUUGAGUCGUUUCUCUGUUUUCACGUGAAAACCUCUUUUUACCAAAUGGGACUCUUUUU